UACGGAGGAUGCGAGCGUUAUCCGGAUUUAUUGGGUUUAAAGGGUGCGUAGGCGGGCUUUUAAGUCAGCGGUAAAAAUUCGGGGCUCAACCCCGUCCGGCCGUUGAAACUGGGGGUCUUGAGUGGGCGAGAAGUAUGCGGAAUGCGUGGUGUAGCGGUGAAAUGCAUAGAUAUCACGCAGAACUCCGAUUGCGAAGGCAGCAUACCGGCGCCCGACUGACGCUGAAGCACGAAAGCGUGGGUAUCGAACAGG
rnacentral:rRNA from 1 species